GCGGGGAAGAGCUAAGUUAGUUAGAGUGCUGGUCCGUCAUGCCAGAAGUAGCGGGUUCGAACCCCUCCCGGUG
rnacentral:tRNA from 1 species